GAUGAAGAACGCAGCGAAAUGCGAUACGUAAUGUGAAUUGCAGAAUUCAGUGAAUCAUCGAGUCUUUGAACGCACAUUGCGCCCCCUGGUAUUCCGGGGGGCAUGCCUGUCCGAGCGUCAUUGCUGCCCUCAAGCACGGCUUGUGUGUUGGGCCGCCGUCCUCCUCCCGGGGGACGGGCCCGAAAGGCAGCGGCGGCACCGCGUCCGGUCCUCGAGCGUAUGGGGCUUCGUCACCCGCUCUUGUAGGCCCGGCCGGCGCUUGCCGACACAUCAAUCUUUUUUCCAGGUUGACCUCGGAUCAGGUAGGGAUACCCGCUGAACUUAAGCAUAUCAAUAAGCGGAGGA
rnacentral:misc_RNA from 1 species